rfam:Bacterium 42_11 MPF_scaffold_950, whole genome shotgun sequence.
AAAGAGGCUUUUUUAAAAGCCACUUUCCCAAAUUCAGUAGUUGAAG